CCUACGGGAGGCAGCAGUGAGGAAUAUUGGUCAAUGGACGAGAGUCUGAACCAGCCAAGUAGCGUGAAGGAUGACUGCCCUAUGGGUUGUAAACUUCUUUUAUAUGGGAAUAAAACGUUCCACGUGUGGGAUUUUGUAUGUACCAUAUGAAUAAGGAUUGGCUAACUCCGUGCCAGCAGCCGCGGUAAUACGGAGGAUCCGAGCGUUAUCCGGAUUUAUUGGGUUUAAAGGGAGCGUAGGUGGAUUGUUAAGUCAGUUGUGAAAGUUUGCGGCUAAACCGUAAAAUUGCAGUUGAAACUGGCAGUCUUGAGUACAGUAGAGGUGGGCGGAAUUCGUGGUGUAGCGGUGAAAUGCUUAGAUAUCACGAAGAACUCCGAUUGCGAAGGCAGUUCACUGGACUGCAACUGACACUGAGGCUCGAAAGUGUGGGUAUCAAACAGGAUUAGAUACCCCAGUAGUC
rnacentral:rRNA from 1 species